UGUGGGAGCGAGCUUGCUUGCGAUAGCGGAGGCUCAGUCGCCAUCAACGUCGAAUGACACUCCGCAUCGCGAGCAAGCUCGCUCCCACA
rnacentral:misc_RNA from 1 species